AGGGAUCAUUACCGAGUUUACAACUCCCAAACCCCUGUGAACAUACCAAUUGUUGCCUCGGCGGAUCAGCCCGCUCCCGGUAAAACGGGACGGCCCGCCAGAGGACCCCUAAACUCUGUUUCUAUAUGUAACUUCUGAGUAAAACCAUAAAUAAAUCAAAACUUUCAACAACGGAUCUCUUGGUUCUGGCAUCGAUGAAGAACGCAGCAAAAUGCGAUAAGUAAUGUGAAUUGCAGAAUUCAGUGAAUCAUCGAAUCUUUGAACGCACAUUGCGCCCGCCAGUAUUCUGGCGGGCAUGCCUGUUCGAGCGUCAUUUCAACCCUCAAGCCCAGCUUGGUGUUGGGACUCGCGAGUUAAACCGCGUUCCCCAAAUUGAUUGGCGGUCACGUCGAGCUUCCAUAGCGUAGUAGUAAAACCCUCGUUACUGGUAAUCGUCGCGGCCACGCCGUUAAACCCCAACUUCUGAAUGUUGACCUCGGAUCAGGUAGGAAUACCCGCUGAACUUAAGCAU
rnacentral:rRNA from 1 species